ensembl:snRNA U6 U6 spliceosomal RNA
AUUUGAACACACUGGGCAGAAUAGAUCCUGAAAUUGGAGCAAUGCAGAGUUUAGCAGGCCCCUGUGCAAAGAUGACAAGCAAAUCCAGGAAAUGCUCCUUAUUUUG